rnacentral:rRNA from 1 species
UACAGAGGGUGCGAGCGUUAAUCGGAAUUACUGGGCGUAAAGCGUGCGUAGACGGUAGCGUAAGUCAGAUGUGAAAGCCCCGGGCUCAACCUGGGAAUUGCAUUUGAGACUGCUCUGCUCGGGUGCGGAAGAGGGAAGCGGAAUUUCCGGUGUAGCGGUGAAAUGCGUAGAUAUCGGAAGGAACACCAGUGGCGAAAGCGGCUUCCUGGUCCGACACCGACGUCCAGGCACGAAAGCGUGGGGAGCAAACAGG